AUUUGGAAUGUCCAGAUCGGUUUAAUUGAAAAGUUUUGGUGAUUAAUCUUGACCGUCCAUCUCAGUAGUCAUCAGCUGAAGUGCCUGGUCGUCAAGAACCAUUUGGACCAGGUGAUUAAUCUUGACCGUCCAUCUCACUACCAAAGAAAGGAGCAAAGGUUGCAGAAUACGAGCAAAUAUACGUAGCUUUAUUGAUACGUCUUUAAACUGUAGCCGAAGGACAUGAAAGCCGUAGCUAAAAUUCCAUUACAGAAAAAAAUCAGACGAGGUCUAUUUCAUUCUCGCGGCUGGCUAUUCCCGUUCUAUAUUCCCCCUUUCAUCGCAGAGGUCUGCGUUCGCUCUCUUCCACCAACCCCUUUCUAAAAUCAUUCAAAUCUACCAGGCCCUAACCCUAGAAUCAACCCAAUUUCACUCCAUCUUCUUACCAAAUCCCUCUACGUCACCUCAAUCCACGGUCUCUCAACUCUUCCCAGCCCUCGAUUACCAAAAUCCAUCUCGUUUUCGCCAUCGGUUCGCGGUUCCUUCUCCCAAGCCCGAUCUCUGAACAAGAGAUAUCACGAUCAGAGCAAGCUCCAUCCCGGAAAGCGCCAGCAAGAGCACCAAAUCGAUCAGCCUAUUGUAGAUGCUGCAACUUGGAUCUCUAUUUGGGCUCUGGUUUUCCCCUUCUGUCUCUCUCUCAUUUUCCCUCUCUCUGUCCGACUCUCGAUCUGCAAUCCUUACAUUGCAUCCACCAACCGCUGAAACCCUACCGCAUCUCCGUCAUCAACAGCAAUAGACGUUGUUGAGCUCCAACCUAUUGCCAAUCUGAAGAGGUGAUGUUGCCUUUUGAUUUGUCUAUUCAUUUUAGUUUUGAAUCUCUGUUUUUGAGAAAAUCUGACGUUGUUAGUGUAGGAUAAUGUGAGUAAUGGUUUCAAACGUCACAUUUUUGAAGGAUUUUUGCCCCCUGAUAUUGCUGAUUUGGCUUUGAAAGUUGGUGUUUCUAUUCUCCGAGUAUGGAUUCUGAGGAAUAGCUCUUGAUUUUCUUUGUUUCAGUUCAAAUUUGGCUUUUGAUUCUUUUGCGUGGUGCGGAUCUGAACCUUUUGCUGUAGAUUUUUUAUGACUUGACACCAUCUGUUUAUGGAUAUUUUAUAGGAUCUUUUAAAAAGUCACUAUUUUUGUAGGAUUAUUUUAAGAAAAUCUGUAAAUUUUACUUUGAAACUUGACAUUUUACAUGAAAAGUAAGCUUGGGAUGUUUGUCCUUGGAGAUUUCUUUUUCUUCAAGAUUUUGUGUAACGGUUUUUUAAGUUCUGAUGCAUCAGGACAUAUGGCGUCUGAUGUUUCCAGUCUCUGUAGGAGUGGGCGCUAUGGUUUACUGAUUGCACUGUGGAUGGAUGAUUCCCCAAGCUUCCUAGAUUGGAAGGAUCCUAAUCUCUUGACCUGCAAAUUGUUAUGGGAAAAAAAAAUGCAGAUGUUGACUUGGAAAAUAUGGAUAUUGAUUGGAUGAUUUAGAUACUCCAACCUUGAUAGUUUUUUUAGGGUGCACUGUGGGUCCCACUUUCAUGGUUGUUGCUUUAGGACCCCCUGGUUUAGGUCAUGGUUGCUUGAAAUCAUGUUAUUAUUGUGUCCUCAUGCCUUGACUGGAAGCAAGUGGGAUGCAUACUUCAGUUAUCCAGAGGAUCCUGGUUUUAGGCUUUUGCAUUUUGGAAGUUUAUGGAUAACUCUGAAGCUGAUGAUGAGUCAAAGGAUCCUGGUGCUCUGGUUGCCGUUGGUUGUUUGUGUUCUAUAAGCACAAUUCUUGAAUCUGUGAGCCAGAUUCCCCAUCUUUUUAUACAAAUUGAGCCCAUUUUAUUGCCUAUAAUGAGAAGGAUGUUAACUACAGAUGGACAAGAUGAAAAACGAAGCAAGUUGCUAGAUUGGGAGAAGCACUUCAACAUCAUCUUAGGGAUCGAUGGAGGCCGUCUGUAUCUUCACCAAGAUUUGAGGUUAUUCAUUGAGAACUUGGAGGCUUGUCGGCUGGUUUCGAAGCUUCGGAUUCAACUAUAGUAAUCAUUUCAGGCAGUU